rnacentral:lncRNA from 13 species
GGGGUGCGUGGUUAGAGAGCACUGCUCUUGGGGGUGCGUGGUUAGAGAGCACCGCUCUUCGGGGGUGCGUGGUUAGAGAGCACCGCUCUUCGGGGGUGCGUGGUUAGAGAGCACCGCUCUUCGGGGGUGCGUGGUUAGAGAGCACCGCUCUUCGGGGGUGCGUGGUUAGAGCACCGCUCUUCGGGGGUGCGUGGUUAGAGAGCACCGCUCUUCGGGGGUGCGUGGUUAGCGGGCACCGCCCUGUGGAGACUACCAUCCCUGUGCCCGCUGCACCUUCCUCACCAGGCAGGGUUACAAAAAAAAGAAUACAAAUUCUACUUUUGUUUUCAAGUGCGUUUUGUUCAAUACAUAAUGUACAGACUUGUGCUCUUAAUAAUUUUUUUUAACUUAUUUUCUACGUAAAGAUUGUGCAUUUGUAAAUAACCCAUGUAAUUAUGGUUUUAAACUUGUACAGGGAAAAAAUAAGUAAUAGAUAUUUUAAUCGUAAAAGGUUAUUGUUUUGUCUGGACCAAAGUUGUUUUUUUUUAUAUUGAGUCGGUGUCAAGUUCCUUGUUGUUAUUAUUGUUAGUCGAUGUUAUUGGCUUAACUCUUGAAGCAUGUGUUGAAUCGGAUUUGGUUCCGUUUGGUUCCGUUGUUUCUUCCGUCUCCAUUUCCCCUCUGGACUGGAGUUGGAUCCAGGCACCACAACGAGGUGUUCGUUCUAAUGGAGUUGGAUCCAGGCACCACAACGAGGUGUUCAUUCUAAUGGAGUUGGAUCCAGGCACCACAACGAGGUGUUUCAUUCUAAUGGAGUUGGAUCCAGGCACCACAACGAGGUGUUUCAUUCUAAUGGAGUUGUGAUUUUUGGAUGCUGCUGUUGUCGUUGCAGGCUGGUAGCUGUUACUCCCCAGAAGAAGCUGUACCGGUGAAAGUUCAGUUAAACCUUUUUAAAAAAAAGUCAUUCGUCGUCAUUCGCUCCCCUUCGUUUGCAACAGAGUGCAUCUGAAAUGGCACCCUAUUCCCUAUAUAGUACACUACCUUUCAUCAGGAACAUAUACUGGCUCUAGUGAAAAGUAGUGCACUAUAUAGGCGAUAGGGUGCCAUUUGGGAUACUGGAACACUCCGUGUACAGCCUCUCUAUCCCGUGUGUGUGUGUGUGUGUGCGUGUGUGUGUGUGGUCCGGUGGGUGUGUCAUUAAAAAAUACAACGUUUGUUGUGACUUCUAUUAGGAGAAGAAAAUACCCAUCCUUUUCCAGUUUUAAUGUGAGAAUUUAAUGCAACAAAACCUAUUUUUUCANNNNNNNNNNAAAGAGAUGUAGUAGUCCCAGAGUUAAUGAUCCCAGGUCAGUUUAUAUUAUACAGGAAGUAUUACUAAAGAGAUGUAGUAGUCCCAGAGUUAAUGAUCCCAGGUCAGUUUAUAUUAUACAGGAAGUAUUAUUAAAGAGAUGUAGUAGUCCCAGAGUUAAUGAUCCCAGGUCAGUUUAUAUUAUACAGGAAGUAUUAUUAAAGAGAUGUAGUAGUCCCAGAGUUAAUGAUCCCAGGUCAGUUUAUAUUAUACAGGAAGUAUUAUUAAAGAGAUGCAGUAGUCCCAGAGUUAAUGAUCCCAGGUCA